CCAUAUCACGCUGAAACACCGGUCCCCGUACGGUCACCGAAGUUAAGCAGCAUCAAACCUGGUCAGUACCUAGAUGGGUGAUCGCUUGAGAACACCAGGAGCUGUAA